CGCGUGAGAAUCUAGCUUCAGGUUGGGGACAACCACUGGAAACGGUGGCUAAUACCGAAUAUGCCGAGAGGUGAAAGGCUUGCUGCCUGAAGAUGAGCUCGCGUCUGAUUAGCUAGUUGGUGGGGUAAAAGCCUACCAAGGCGACGAUCAGUAGCUGGUCUGAGAGGAUGAUCAGCCACACUGGGACUGAGACACGGCCCAGACUCCUACGGGAGGCAGCAGUGGGGAAUUUUCCGCAAUGGGCGAAAGCCUGACGGAGCAAUACCGCGUGAGGGAGGAAGGCUCUUGGGUCGUAAACCUCUUUUCUCAGGGAAGAAAAAAAUGACGGUACCUGAGGAAUAAGCAUCGGCUAACUCCGUGCCAGCAGCCGCGGUAAUACGGAGGAUGCAAGCGUUAUCCGGAAUGAUUGGGCGUAAAGCGUCCGCAGGUGGCUAUGUAAGUCUGCUGUUAAAGAGUGAGGCUCAACCUCAUAAAAGCAGUGGAAACUACAUGGCUAGAGUGCGUUCGGGGCAGAGGGAAUUCCUGGUGUAGCGGUGAAAUGCGUAGAGAUCAGGAAGAACACCGGUGGCGAAAGCGCUCUGCUAGGCCGCAACUGACACUGAGGGACGAAAGCUAGGGGAGCGAAUGGGAUUAGAU
rnacentral:rRNA from 1 species